CCGGGGUGGAGCGUGAGAGUUGUGUGUUAUUUUAAGGGCUGUGGGCGCCGUGGGCGCACUUCUGCCUUUUCUGCUCCCUCUGUACCCCCUCAAGGUGUGAGCGUGGAGCUUUCUAGGUCCCUAGAGGGGGCAGGCCACGGCACCGUCUUGGCGGCGGAGUCCUGGCACCGGGAACCCGAGGCCCCUCCUACUUUAGACUGUAGCCUCCCUCUGUACCAGGAGCGACGUGGCCCUGCCGGGUGCUCAGCCCUAUCCAAGAAAUGCAGAGCCCAGGCUAGCCCCGCAGUGUGAACGCCCCUUUUGGAGGUCUGCAGGCCCAGAGACGAGAGCGCCUAUUUGUUGACAGCCACUUUUCAGGAAGGCCCGCACAUGCUUCUGAUGUGCUGUCGCAGGGCUCCUAGCCACUGUGGCCAGCACUGUCCCUCCACAGAGAGACAAGUCCUUCCACACCCUGGUUCUGAUUCUCUGGUUUAAUCUGUUCUGCUCAGCUGGAGCACAUAGUUCCUUUCCGUGGUCACCUCUCGUCGCCAGCACUGCCCCGUUCAUCAUUCUUUAUUCCUAGCCAGAAGACUUUAAGCAUCCUGGAGGUGCCUGAUGUCCCCACCCCAACUUGUUCACCGAGACCAUCAAAUAAAGGUUCUUUAACCUUUAAUAAUGGCUCAUACAGAGGACCCACUGUGGCUUAAAACAUCAUGGGGUUGCUUAAUCUACUAAAUGUCCUGGCUUAUCAACUCAGCACACUGGAGCAUGUGGUUUCCCCUGGUGAUGGCCAGCGUUGAGAAAGGGUGCUUAUAUCGCAUUAUCACCAGCAUGGAAGAGAUCAAACUCAAAAUCCCAAGUAGUGUUUCUGCUGAUGCCUGUCGCUUCUGCACCAUUACAAGAUCAACCCCCAAAUGAAACAUUGUAGAUUGUGCAUCAUUUGUGCGCUGUCUUUCUUUGUACCGGAGUCAGGAGUGGGUUGCAGAAGAUGGUCUCUAUGAUGCCUUUGAAGAACAUGGAAAAGUAGGUGAUUUCCAAGCAUCUGGUUUGUUGGACCAAGCCUGCCAAGCCACUCUCAGGGACAGAAUGUGUAUGAAAGAGACCACCCAGUGUUCUCAUAUAUAAUUUUGAAGAAACCAGCCUUGUGCACUGAGAGUGCCUCUCUCUUCUGCACCUACUGCUCUCCUUGGGAUAGCCUAAGGACUUUGUGGAGGAACCAAGGAAGCUCUAGAGCAGAGGUUCUCAACCUCUCCAUGGGCUGUGAUCAAUCUCUUUAGAAGCAUCCACCUUGAUGACUCAUCAUCCUUCAGAAGUCCCUGAAAGAUGCAUCUGUAUUCUCAUGGGGAGACUGGCUUUGUAGAAUCCACUAGACACUUCUGGGCUGAGUCUUCUGAAUGGUUUUGCAGUAGCCAAGUCCAGGCUUCCUGCCCUGGGCCAGGCUAUGCUGAGACUGUAAAGCCAGCAAUCAUCCUGGCUCUCAGGAAAGACGGUGUGUCCUAGAAGUCUAAACUGGCCGCCACUGGUGAUGGUUAGUGUUAGUGUCUGGAUGUGUAGAAAACCAUAGAAAUGUUUACACACAAUCCUAAGCUUGGUGGCGGAAUGAAACUGAAGCAGCUCUGUUAACGUGAGGCUGCCUUUGUGUCCUAUGCAGUUUGGUUUUCAUAGGAUCUUGUCCUUGUAGAAUAAUUUUGGAGCACUUCUGUCUUAGGGUUUCCAUUGCUGUAAAGCCACCAUGACCAAAGCAGCUCUUAUAAGGACAACAUCUAAUUGGGCCUGGCUUACAUGUUCAGAGGUUCAGUCUAUUAUCAUCAAGGUAGGAACAUGGCAGCAUCCAGGUAGGCAUGGUGCAGGAGGAGCUAGGCAUUCAACAUCUUGUUCCAAGGCAAAUAGGAGAAGACUGGCUCCCAUGUGGCUAGGAGAAGGGUCUCAAAGCCCACCCUGACAGUGACACCCUUCCUUCAACAAAGCCACACCUACUCCAACAAGGCCACACCUCCUAAUAGUACCACUCCCUGGGCCAAACAUGUACAAACCACCACAUUUUCUAACCAGCAUGUCGUGAGAGGAGGCAUCUGUCCUGUCGAUAGUGGGAUUUUUAGAUUUUUUUUUUUUUGAAGCUGGGUUUCCUCCCAGCUGGUACUGACCCACUCCAAGGCUUCUGGUUUGCCCAUGCAUUUUUUUCAUUCCUCGGUUUCAAGAAACAAUCCAGAGGUCCCUCAGUAGACAAACACAGCUUUCAGUCAGCAUGCAAUGGAAUAUUACAGAUUAGUGAAAAGGCACAAGCUGUGGCAGAUUGACCAACAGAGGUGAGUGUCAAAUAUGCCAAGCAGGAGUUCACACUCUAGGUUCAUUUCUGUUUAGUCAAGCAAAGGUGAAAGCACUGUGCGUGACAGGCUUCAGGCAUGUGACCCUGGGGCCUGGGGUCAGCACCUCCCUACAGGAGGCUCCAGGGAACAUUAAGUAGGUGGUUACAGAUAUUUUCUUUCUUGGUGCAGGCAGCAUUGACACAACAGUGUACCUGAACUCCUAGGCAUACAAAUGCUGACUGCAUUUGCUUUGUUGUUUAUGGAGAUAGAGUCUCAUGUAUCCCAUGCUGGCCUCCAACUUGCUAUGUAGCUGAGGAUACCCCUGACUCUCACUCUUCCAGGUACUGGGAUAACAUAAUCACACCACACAGCAUUUUGUGUGGUGCUUGGUGUCAGAUCCAGGGCUCUGUGCAUGUUUGGCAAGCAUUCUACUAACCGAGCCACAUCCUAGUCUAAUCAUACUGAUUUUAGAAAUUAUUUACCUUUUAUAUGUUCAAAUACCAUAGAGAAUAAUAUUUUCAUGAAAUUCCACAACAUAUUAAACAAGAUUUUAAGAUAAUUUAUUCCAUGAUCUAACUACAUGUGCACAUGUAGAAUAUGUGUAACCAUAUGAUUAUCAUGUAAUCUGGUUUCAUGUACACACACAUGUAUGUUUCCAUGUACACACGUGUAUUGUUUGAAAUAUCCCAGGGUUUGAACAAAAUGUACCCUGUAAUUACCUUGUGAGCAAUUUCUGUUUUCUUUUUUAUGCUUUUCUAUAUUACCAGAUGUUCCUUAAUGAACACUUUUAUAUUCACAAACAAAUUAAAUAAAAU
rnacentral:lncRNA from 1 species